GCUGGGCAUGGUGGCGCAUGCCUGUAAUCCCAACUACUUGGGAGGCUGAGACAGGAGAAUCGCUUGAACCCGGGAGGCGGAGGUUGCAGUGAGCUGAGAUCCUGCCACUGCACUCCAGCCUGGGUGACAGAAUGGGAUUCUGUCUCAA
rnacentral:sRNA from 1 species